GCCUCUUGGACUGGGAAAACUGUUGGAAACGACAGCUAAUACCGGAUAUUAUGAGAUUCUCGCAUGAGAAACUUAUGAAAGCUAUAUGCGCCAAGAGAGAGCCUUGCGUUCCAUUAGCUAGUUGGUGGGGUAACGGCCCACCAAGGCGACGAUGGAUAGCCGGCCUGAGAGGGUGAACGGCCACAAGGGGACUGAGACACGGCCCUUACUCCUACGGGAGGCAGCAGUGGGGAAUAUUGGACAAUGGGCCACAAGCCUGAUCCAGCAAUUCUGUGUGCACGAUGAAGGUCUUCGGAUUGUAAAGUGCUUUCAGUUGGGAAGAAGAAAGUGACGGUACCAACAGAAGAAGCGACGGCUAAAUACGUGCCAGCAGCCGCGGUAAUACGUAUGUCGCAAGCGUUAUCCGGAUUUAUUGGGCGUAAAGCGCGUCUAGGCGGAAAAAUAAGUCUGAUGUUAAAAUGCGGGGCUCAACUCCGUAUUGCGUUGGAAACUGUUUUUCUAGAGUACUGGAGAGGUGGGCGGAACUACAAGUGUAGAGGUGAAAUUCGUAGAUAUUUGUAGGAAUGCCGAUGGAGAAGUCAGCUCACUGGACAGAUACUGACGCUGAAGCGCGAAAGCGUG
rnacentral:rRNA from 1 species